GUGCAACAUUUUCCUCAUUGAUUUGUAUUCUCACUUCAAGAAGAAUAUAAAAGACUACCACCGGCUGGAAGAUAAUGUUGGAGAUCGAACAUCUCCACAGAACAAAAGGAGGCUAAACACAUUAAAGGAGGGAUAUGAAUGCUGGCACCGAGUCGUUUGUCACACUUCACCAAGCUUCCGCUUUGACGUUUGAUUUAUCCCAAUCGCGGGCCAGCAAGCAAUUUCAAGGUGAUUAUCAAAGAAAGAAGUACGGCAAUUAUCCCUGGACUGCAAAGUGAAAGGUGAAGGGAUUUGUAUUUACCAGUCAGUGGGCGUUUAAUGACUAAACAAUAUAGUUGAAUUAUAA